GCUCUCACGGGGGUCUGUGAGCCCUUCCUGCUCUCGGACGGAAGGCUUGUGGUCACGGUGAGCAGUGAGUUUAGAGCUCACAGACAGAAAACCCAGAAGCAAAACCCUUUCAGGCUCUGCAACGCUUUUCACUUGGCUGCUGAUGCAAAGGCUAGAGGGAACUUCAGCAUAGCCCGUUCCUCCUAUGCUUGAUCUCUGGAUUAACAUGGACCGUGGCCUGCACACCAUGCAUUGCUGAGGUCUGCCCCAGCCACCGACUCCUGCUCCUCUUUAUUUUCCCUGCGAUGCACAUGCUGGGGGGAGCUCUGUGCUCUGGGGAGAGCUUUGCACCUACAAGCCAGAAGAAUCCAAGGGAAGGCGAGACACAGGACACAAGGCCAUGCAAGUGCUAAGUGAGAAGCUGCCACCUGCUCGCCCUGCUGUUCAAGAAGUGCUGAGACAGACACGUCUGCUCCCUGCCCAUUCAUGGAGAACACAGGUCUGUGAUCACCAGCAAUUUUCCUGAGCGGGUGGGCUGAGGCAGCAGGGAAAGGCAAGCUGGCCAAGGCAGCCCUAUGCACUUCAGCAGAGCGAGAGGCUGGGUGAGAAAUAAGUCCAUCUAAUGACUAGGGAGGUUGACCUGCUGGGCUGGUAGUGCUGUGGGCCCAGGGAGGAAAGAUGGUGGUAUGGCUAAGGUGCAGGGUUGGCAGUCUAGGAGAAAGCCCGCUUGUAGGACUGGGUUCUAGUCCCCUUUCCUUUCCUUUCCUUUCCUUUCAUUGUACCUCAGUUUUCCCCUGUGUAAAGUAGAGAUGACAUUUACCUACCUACCUCACAGGUAUUAAUACACUGUGUAAGCUGUUACUAUCUGUGUAGCCGUAGCACCUAGUGGCCCCAGUCGAGAUCAGGACCCCAUUGUGCUAGGCACCACACAAACACACAGUGAGAAGGAGCCUCUGCCCUGAGAGCUCACAGUGAAAUAGACAAAGGAAAGAUUAUUGUCCCCAUUGUACAGAUGGGGGAACUGAGGCCCAGCGAGACUAAGUGACUUGCCCAAGGUCAUGGAGGAAGCCUUUGGGAGAGCAAGGGAUUGAAUGCAGGUCUCCUGAGGCCAGUUCAGUGUCUUUACGAGUCCCACUUAGAUGCUUUUUUGAGGAUGUAAGUGGGACUUAAGUAAUUCAAGGGCCUUUUGCUGGCUCUCUGCACAGGGCUGUUUGAGCCUCUAGCUUAGAUUCGCCAUUCAGAUUUUAUGAUGCUGGUUCGCCCAUUGCUAGAGCUGAUCACACAAAGAUUGCAAACAUGGAUAUUUGUUUAUAAUGACAAAAAUCUCUGGGCGUUCAGAAAUGGCUCAACCAUUUUUGCUCAGGCUUCCUAAGAAAAUUUGCUUUGGGCCCAAGACCAAACAUGGAAAAUUUCAGCCUGAGAGGUAAAUGUUUGACAAAGUUAUAAGCAUCUGGGAAAGGCCCUUUAGAAUGGAAAAUGCAGCUUUAAUGCCAGGAUAGGCAUCGCUCCACACAACACCUGUAAUU
rnacentral:lncRNA from 1 species